ACUGACCUGACGCAGACAAGCCAUAGAAACAUUUUUAUUGAAGGGGAUAGGGGUCAUGCUGAGUUCGGGGACAUGCAGUGAAGGGGCAGUCGUGAGCUGUCCUUGGUGGUCAGGGCCCCAGGUCCACCCUAGACCCCCUGGGCCUUUAGGUUCUCCCUCAGGCUGUUGGUCUGACCCGGGUGCUUGAGGUCCUUUGGGGCCAGUGACUCAGAUUCGGUGUUUUGGACCUGUGACCAGAACGUAGAUUGAAAUAGGGGUUCCAGGAUUUGCGAUCCCCUCAAGGCCUUGGGGCCCUUCAUAUACUAGAGAUGGAGGCUUUAGGAUUUGGGGUUCCCUGGGGGUGGGGCUCUUUACAUUUGGGUGUCUUGAGAUCCAUCGAUUCAGGGCAUUGAAGUGCUCCGGUUUCCAGGGAUGAGAAUUCCUGUUUGGGGUCUCCUGGUGCCUAUGAGCAGGGCUUGAGGUCCUUUAGGAGCUAUAGGACUUGGGGGCACAGGGGAAUUUGGGACAUGUACUCUGGGGUCUGGGAUCCCCAGAGUCCCAGAAUGGGGCCUCCAAAUUUUGGGGUCCCCCAAAGGGGGAAGUCAUUACUUAAAAAAUAGAGAAUUUUCUGGGAGCCUGGCCAGCACAGGGGCUGUGGGCCGUGUGGGGUGGGCUUCAUACAAGGCACUGGGGGCUUCUUCAGGGCGCAGAGGGUAGGAAGACUUAGGGGUCCUGUAAUUAGCACUUCCAGGACUGUUUUGGUGUCUGUAAAUUGGGGGUGAGAGUGGGCUGGUUAAUGUGGGUCUCUUCUUGAGGGGUAAGAGUGGGGAUUUGUUAAUGUAGGGUGUCUGAUUGCAGUGUAAGUUUUGGGGGUGACCAUGGUGGUCACAACAUCUUGAGGGGACUGAUGUUAAAUGUAGUUGUUACUCUGUUGCUCUGGAGAUAAUGACCUGUGUUUAUUUCAAGGGGACUUGAUGGAGGGGGGUGUCUUUGUUAAUGGGGGAGGGUUCUGAUCCAGUGAUGAAUGACUCAGGAAUGUUCUGCUCUGGAGCCAUUAUGUAGAAGUCACCAUCCUUUGAGGUGAUGUGGAAACAUGUUAUUGGGGGGUCUGCUCUGAGGGGUUGGGGACAGGGACUAGCCUGAAGGUGCUACACUCAGGGAAUCUCUUUCUGGGUACCAUGGGGUCUGUAUUUGGGGAUUAUGAGGGAAUCUGUUAAUAAUGGGGCCUCAGUGAUCGAGGGCUGGCUAAUGGGGUCUCUAUUCUGGAUGUGUUACUGGGAAUCUCUAUCUCAGGGUGACUCAGGGGCUCCUUGUGUCAGGAGAUGCUAGAGGGGACUCUUUGACUCUCUGUCAGGUAUCCAGGCCUCUAUGACUGCAUCUCCGCCCUCAGCAUCCAGGGAAACCAGCAGCAGAAGAGCAACCUGGAAUGGAGAAUCACGUCCAUCCGUCAUACCUUGAUGCAGAAUACAGAAACAUCUGGAUUCAUCACCACCCUCCUCCCCCGACUCCUACUCUUCCCCAAGUGACUAGGGUUUGGCCUUUCUGGAUUCUGUCUCUACCUGUCUGGCAAUGCCUUCUCAGGCUCUUGUGAA